AAUUGUGUCUUUGAGCGCGCAGCAUCGUGCUUUGUGCUGCCGGGGAUAACGGAUUCUGGGUCUCACACGCAUCCGUCACCUAAGACACCCUUAAACUGAACCAGGGUCUCCGCAGCUGGGAGGGAAACAAUGUGCUGGGACCCAGGCUGCUCUGAGCUACAAGGAUCCCAGGAGUGAAGGAAAUGUUUCAGGGAGCAGCCCAGGCAGCGGGGGGAGGAAGAAAGCCCUCGCACUCUUACCUCCACAUUGAAAUACUGCUCCGUUCCGCAGACUGUAGCACAUAAAAUCCAAAGCAAGGUUUGCAAGAAAAACACUCCCGAAUGAUGCACGAAAUCCAACCGUCUUCCAGUGCUGAAUCCAGCAGAGGGGAAGAGGAGCCCAUGGGAAAGAAAAGCAGGCGAGGUUAAGAAUAAAGAGUGUUCCAGGAUAGCACAGAAGCAGAGACUUUAAGUCUAAACAGACCUAGAUUCAGAGCCGACCCGAUGCUGCUUGAAGAA
rnacentral:antisense_RNA from 1 species